UUUCGCAAUGCCCGAAAGGGUGACGAAGCGACGCCGCGUGGGUGAGGAAGGCCUUCGGGUUGUAAAGCCCUGUCAGGAGUUAAGAAAUGUAAGUGCGCUAAUAUCGCAUUUAUUUGACGAAGGCUCCAAAGGAAGCCACGGCUAACUCUGUGCCAGCAGCCGCGGUAAUACAGAGGUGGCAAGCGUUGUUCGGAAUUAUUGGGCGUAAAGAGCACGUAGGUGGGUUUGUAAGUCAGAUGUGAAAGCCUUCUGUUCAACGGAAGAAUUGCAUCUGAAACUGCGAGUCUUGAGUGUAGGAGGGGAGAAUGGAACUUCUGGUGGAGCGGUGAAAUGCGUAGAUAUCAGAAGGAACGCCGGCGGCGAAAGCGAUUCUCUGGCCUAUUACUGACACUCAGUGUGCGAAAGCUAGGGGAGCAAACGGGAUUAGAUACCCCGGUAGUCCUAGCCGUAAACGAUGGGCACUAAGUAGAGGGGUUUU
rnacentral:rRNA from 2 species